rnacentral:rRNA from 1 species
UGGGAACGCGAAGAACCUUACCUAGACUUGACAUCCCCCGAAUUACCUGUAAUGAGGGAAGUCCCUUCGGGGACAGGGAGACAGGUGGUGCGUGGUUGUCGUCAGCUCGUGUCGUGAGAUGUUGGGUUAAGUCCCGCAACGAGCGCAACCCUUAUCAUUAGUUGCUACCAUUAAGUUGAGCACUCUAAUGAGACUGCCCGGGUUAGCCGGGAGGAAGGUGGGGAUGACGUCAAAUCAUCAUGCCCCUUAUGUCUAGGGCUACACACGUGCUACAAUGGCUGGUACAGAGAGAUGCUAAACCGCGAGGUGGAGCCAAACUUUAAAACCAGUCUCAGUUCGGAUUGUAGGCUGAAACUCGCCUACAUGAAGCUGGAGUUGCUAGUAAUCGCGAAUCAGAAUGUCGCGGUGAAUACGUUCCCGGGUCUUGUACACACCG